CGUAAAUAUAAUAUACGUUUUUUUCCAGAAUAUCUUUAUCAAAAUGGAACAGCGUGAGAUUGAAGAUGUUCAAAUAUCAGAUCAGAACUUUAACUGUGUAUUUUUUAAGACCAACCUUCGGAAAAUGCGGGUAGAAGUCAAGAACAGGGAAACAGUCAAGGGUGGUGAACAAAUCAAGGUCAAGAAUGCAGUUCAUGGAAGGGGAAAAACAGCUUGCGAGGAAGAAUCUUUAAUAGCUGAUAAGUUUGCGGUGUUGUACAGAGAACAUCCUGAUGUACAUAAAUCAAUUUCUGAGUUCCAGCAGUUCAAUUCUACCGUACAGCAGGAUAUAUCUGGUAAACUGGCAGGAUUCUCAGAGAUUGCUCACACAGACAGAUUUAAAAGGUCUGACCGAGCAUAUGUGAAUAUCCAGAUGUUUAUGUUGAAACGAUAUCUCAGAAGGAUUCAACAUUUUCAAAACAACAUUCUUCUUUCUCAAACUAAAUUAAUGGAGAGCCUGGAAACUGGAGACCCAGAUGUGAUUAAACAACAGAAAAAUAUGCAUUUUCUUCUAGUUAACAAACUGAAAACCCGGCUGAAGCAUAUACUGGACGUGUCAGAGAAGUAUGCGACAUUAGAACUGUUUGACGAGCUAUGCAGGGUGGUCGCCGAUAUAGAUGUCGCAGAUAUUGACGUGGACGGUCCAGACUUCCAAUCUAAAACUCUAGCACUGCAGAGACAGGCGAGAUCUAUGGAGGUGCUUACAGACAUUGAUAGAACAACAAACCUGACAUUCAAUAAUAAUCAUACUUCACAGCUUUCCCUACCCACAUCACAGUCACACACAGCUCUACCUUUCCAACCUUCACUCCCUUCUCUACCUUCACAACCAACCCUGACUUCCCAUCCUAGCCAACCAGUUCCGUCUGCUGUAUCGGCCAACGCGGAAUUUCAAACCACUGCUCCGGCUGGCUCUGCAGCCCAGCUUGCUGCACCGACCGGUUCGUCAGCCCAGGUUGCAGUACCGGUUAGCUCUGCAGUUCAGAUCCUGAUAUCCCCAGCAGUAUACCCUUCUUGUCCUACAUCAGCAUCCAACUCUCCACCCUCCUCCCCUGAAUCCGCCCCGGGGGAGGAGGGGCAGGUUAGAAAACGUGCUUCAUCAAUGCAGUCUCUCCAAGAACAUUUAUCUGUUCUUAGUAAAACAUACAAGAAAACAUUUUCAAAUAGAAGAUAGACGCAUUCAGUUCAUUUAUUUUUCAGAACCAAUCAGAUAAGACACAUUUUGUGCAUUUUUUCUCCUGAACCAAUCAGAUAGACGCAUUUCGUGCAUUUAUUCUCCUGAACCAAUCAGAUAGACGCAUUUUGUGCAUUUAUUCUCCUGAACCAAUCAGAUAUACCCAUUCAGUGCAUUUAUUCUCCUGAACCAAUCAGGUAGACCCAUUCCGUGUAUUUAUUUUCCUAAACCAAUCAGAUAUACCCAGUCCGUGUAUUUAUUCUCCUGAACCAAUCAGAUAUACCCAGUCCGUGAAUUUAUUCUCCUAAACCAAUCGGAUAAACGCAUUUCGAGCAUUUAUUCUCCUGAACCAAUCAGAUAGAAGCAUUCCAUAUAUUUAUUUUCCUGAACCAAUCAGUGACAGAUAGGCACAUUCCGUUAUUCAACGUACCUUAGAACAGAUAUUAGGUUCCAAACAUUAAUGUUGGAAACACAUUUAGCAUUUGCAUUUAAAGGCCAACUAAUUUGAAACCCCG
rnacentral:misc_RNA from 1 species